UAGGGAAUCUUCGGCAAUGGACGGAAGUCUGACCGAGCAACGCCGCGUGAGUGAAGAAGGUUUUCGGAUCGUAAAGCUCUGUUGUAAGAGAAGAACGAGUGUGAGAGUGGAAAGUUCACACUGUGACGGUAUCUUACCAGAAAGGGACGGCUAACUACGUGCCAGCAGCCGCGGUAAUACGUAGGUCCCGAGCGUUAUCCGGAUUUAUUGGGCGUAAAGCGAGCGCAGGCGGUUAGAUAAGUCUGAAGUUAAAGGCUGUGGCUUAACCAUAGUACGCUUUGGAAACUGUUUAACUUGAGUGCAGAAGGGGAGAGUGGAAUUCCAUGUGUAGCGGUGAAAUGCGUAGAUAUAUGGAGGAACACCGGUGGCGAAAGCGGCUCUCUGGUCUGUAACUGACGCUGAGGCUCGAAAGCGUGGGGAGCAAACAGGAUUAGAUACCCUGGUAGUCCACGCCGUAAACGAUGAGUGCUAGGUGUUGGGUCCUUUCCGGGACUCAGUGCCGCAGCUAACGCAUUAAGCACUCCGCCUGGGGAGUACGACCGCAAGGUUG
rnacentral:rRNA from 1 species